rnacentral:rRNA from 1 species
AAUCAACGCUGGCGGCGUGCCUCAGACAUGCAAGUCGAACGAUUAAAGCUCUCUUCGGAGAGUGCAUAGAGUGGCGCACGGGUGAGUAACACGUAAGUAAUCUACCCUCGAGUGGGGAAUAACGUCCGGAAACGGACGCUAAUACCGCAUAAUGCAGCGGCACCGCAAGGUGACAGUUGUUAAAGAUUUAUCGCUUGAGGAGGAGCUUGCGGCAGAUUAGCUAGUUGGUAAGGUAAUGGCUUACCAAGGCUACGAUCUGUAACCGGUCUUAGAGGACGGUCGGUCACACUGACACUGAAUAACGGGUCAGACUCCUACGGGAGGCAGCAGUCGGGAAUUUUGGGUCAAUGGGCGAAAGCCUGACCACGCAACGCCGCGUGAAGGAUGAAGUAUUUCGGUAU